rnacentral:rRNA from 1 species
AUUGAACGCUGGCGGCAGGCCUAACACAUGCAAGUCGAACGGUAACAGGAAGCAGCUUGCUGCUUUGCUGACGAGUGGCGGACGGGUGAGUAAUGUCUGGGAAACUGCCCGAUGGAGGGGGAUAACUACUGGAAACGGUAGCUAAUACCGCAUAACGUCGCAAGACCAAAGAGGGGGACCUUAGGGCCUCUUGCCAUCGGCUGUGCCCAGGUGGGAUUAGCUAGUAGGUGGGGUAACGGCUCACCUAGGCGACGAUCCCUAGCUGGUCUGAGAGGAUGACCAGCCACACUGGAACUGAGACACGGUCCAGACUCCUACGGGAGGCAGCAGUGGGGAAUAUUGCACAAUGGGCGCAAGCCUGAUGCAGCCAUGCCGCGUGUAUGAAGAAGGCCUUCGGGUUGUAAAGUACUUUCAGCGGGGAGGAAGGGAGUAAAGUUAAUACCUUGGCUCAUUGACGUUACCCGCAGAAGAAGCACCGGCUAACUCCGUG